rnacentral:rRNA from 1 species
UUUCGGUUAAAUCUAUGCGCUUAACGUAUAGGCCGCCGAAAAUACUGGACAGCUAGGGAGUGGGAGAGGUACACGGUACUCAAUAGGAAGGGGUAAAAUCCUUUGAUCUAUUGAUGACCACCUGUGGCGAAGGCGGUGUACCAGAACACGUUCGACGGUGAGGGAUGAAAGCUGGGGGAGCAAACCGGAUUAGAUACCCGGGUAGUCCCAGCUGUAAACGAUGCAGACUCGGUGAUGCAUUGGCUUGUGGCCAAUGCAGUGCCGCAGGGAAGCCGUUAAGUCUGCCGCCUGGGAAGUACGUACGCAAGUAUGAAACUUAAAGGAAUUGGCGGGGGAGCACCACAAGGGGUGAAGCCUGCGGUUCAAUUGGAGUCAACGCCAGAAACCUUACCCGGGGCGACAGCAGAAUGAAGGUCAAGCUGAAGACUUUACCAGACAAGCUGAGAGGUGGUGCAUGGCCGUCGCCAGCUCGUGCCGUGAGAUGUCCUGUUAAGUCAGGUAACGAGCGAGACCCCUGCGUCUAGUUGCUACCAUUACUCUCUGGAGUAGUGGAGCGAAUUAGACGGACCGCCACAGUUAAUGUGGAGGAAGGAAGGGGCCACGGCAGGUCAGUAUGCCCCGAAACCCUGGGGCCACACGCGGGCUGCAAUGGUAUUGACAAUGUGUUCCGAAUCCGAAAGGAGGAGGCAAUCAUCAAACGAUACCUCAGUUAUGACUGAGGGCUGUAACUCGCCCUCACGAAUAU